rnacentral:rRNA from 1 species
CCUACGGGUGGGCUGCAGUGGGGAAUAUUGGACAAUGGGGGGAACCCUGAUCCAGCCAUGCCGCGUGUGUGAAGAAGGCCCUCGGGUUGUAAAGCACUUUCAGUGAGGAAGAACGCCUGGUGGUUAAUACCCAUCAGGAAAGACAUCACUCACAGAAGAAGCACCGGCUAACUCCGUGCCAGCAGCCGCGGUAAUACGGAGGGUGCGAGCGUUAAUCGGAAUUACUGGGCGUAAAGCGCGCGUAGGUGGCUUGAUAAGCCGGUUGUGAAAGCCCCGGGCUCAACCUGGGAACGGCAUCCGGAACUGUCAAGCUAGAGUGCAGGAGAGGAAGGUAGAAUUCCCGGUGUAGCGGUGAAAUGCGUAGAGAUCGGGAGGAAUACCAGUGGCGAAGGCGGCCUUCUGGACUGACACUGACACUGAGGUGCGAAAGCGUGGGUAGCAAACAGGAUUAGAUACCUUAGUAGUC